GCGCAGCCCGCAGGAGAGCAGGCACAGGCCUCGCCGAAGGCGCAAACUCCCAUAAACGCUCAGGCACACGGACUGCGGUAUCAAC
rnacentral:ncRNA from 1 species